GGAUUGAGGGUCAACUAACUGCGCCUGGUUCUCUAAUUCAUUCCUACACUUAUUCAUCCCCCCUAAAUUAGAUGGGGGAUCCGAGACAGCUGCUGCUGCCUUGGUUGCUUCCCUUCCAGUGGAAUAGUGCCUGGGAGGGGCCUUCUCUCCCUUCACAGAAGCAGCUGCGCCCCGCUUAUCCCCACUGCGCACUCGGCCAUCCAGCUCUCGCCAUUGUUUCUGCUCAGAACAGAUACCGCCCCUGUAAGGACCGGGAAGAAGAAAAAGAGGCCCAAGUCCUCGGACGCGCUGCUUUUAAAUGCCUCCUUCACCCCGCCCGUGCAUCCCGCUCCUAAGGGGUCAUCUCCUCGCCCUUCCCCGAAGUUUGGUAGAAACUAAAAACCAAAUUCAGAGGGUGUGAAGCUGAGUCUGGUGCAGAGAGAGAAGCCCGGCUCUGGGUCCUACCGCCACGAUCCGGCGAAGGAGCCAGCUCCUCCUCCCUGCUGCACCCGCUCCCCAUGCCGCAAGUCGCCCUCACCUCCAUCUCGGCGUCUGCGGGACCCGCGCCGGCCGCAGACGCAACCGCCUGCGCCGCGACGCCUUCGGGGCCGCCUUUGUUGCUGCUGUUGCUCCCGCCGCUGGCGGUCGAGGCUGCGGGCUUGGAAGGCGCGCUCUCGGGAGGCGGGGGUGGCGGAGGCUCGGCCGCGGACGACAUGAUGUUCCGUCUGCGUCACCCCCUGCUGCCAGAGGCCGAGUCCGGCGGGGAUGGACAGGGAGGCCUAGGCCUGGAUGCUACGUCGCAAUAAACUGGUGGAGGAGCGAGACUCCCACCCGAGCGCUCCCCCGCGCCGCGCCUCCGCGACGGGCCUGAGCCGGGCCCAGGAGCUGCACACUCCCAAACGUUCUGCUCUUCCGCGGCGCUCUAGGUUCCACCGGCGCUUACCUCACGGCGGGAAUCACGUCGACGAGGGUGGGCGGGGCCAGACGGGUCACUGAGGUCAAGGAAGGCGGGCUGAUUUAGAGAAGGGCGGAGGGUUGGGGGAAGGGAAAAAGAAAACGAAAGAGAGACUGAGGCUGGGAAAACGCUUCGCCGCCUCCUCCUCUUCCUCCGGCAGAUAUCAUCUAUCUCGCCAGCAUCCAGGACGACUACCUACGCCACCGACUUUCAACACUCGCGAGAUUCCUUAUUGGCUCACCGACUGGGUCCUGAGCGCGCAUGCGCAUACUGCCCUCCUCACCCUUGGCCCCUCCUCUUCCAGACCUCUAGCCGGCUCGGGAGAGAAGAGUGGGCGGGACCUCCAGGGAGCGCUAGGAGGUGUAGGUUUGUGCGUCUGCUGCCUGGCAGGACGCGAGCUCAGUGUUUUAGGCUUUAGUAACGGCUCACGGUUCUCGCUGUGUCUUCUGGGCCUGACAGGGGUCGGCGGCACUACCGGAAAACUUGCCUGGGUUUUGCGCUGCUCAUUCAAAGUUGGAAGUCUUGUGUCUGGCCCCAAAACUUCUGCCGUAUCCGCUUAGAGGCGUGACGCCACAGCCUUGACGACGUUGUGGUUACCCCAAGUGACGUCUCACUGUUUUUUGUUGUUAGGGAAAAAAAAAAAAAAGGUCCGUUAGUGUGAUUUUUUCUUUUUUUUAUUUUUGCCUUCUUAUGUUAGCUGCGUCAGUUAUUUCUAAAUACCCUCCUUAGGCACAGAGUUAAAUGAUAUUUCUUCUGAAUUUAUAUGCCAGAGGUAAGCAAAUAACGUGCACACUACCAUGGAAGUGAGAAACACGAAUAAUCAAUAUAUGGGGAAGAUAGGUGGUGCGAUGUAAUCUUUUCCUCAAGCAUGAAACAUGAAAAUUAAAACGUACAUUCUCCUUAAGUGUUAACAAAUAUUCAGCACUGAUUUUGUAUACUGUCUUAGGCAGCCUUCAGUGCAGCUUAAGGGCCUUGUGCAUUCAUCUCUUACAAAAUUUAAAUACAUUGUAGUCUGUUUGAUAACGCAUCUGCAUACUACAGUAGAUUACCUGCCCAGUACAGGGUCUGAUUUAUCUUUUUUUAUUCCUCAUAUUUAGUAUUCUCUAAAUGUUUGUUGAGUAAAGGAGACACAUUUUUCGAGAGUUGAGGUUUGAGCUAACUGGUUAUGCUGAAUUCCAAACAGAAGGGAUCCCCUUUGAAUAUAUAGUCUGCAAAUUUUUUAACUAAUGAAUGAUAAUUCUUAAAUGGACAUCUGGAAAAAUGUCCCCACUCCACUAAAAAUGCUAGUUCUUAGACUAUAAGGAAAUGUCUAAGGAUAUAUGCAAAGAUAAAUACCUACAAUGAUGUUCAUCAUAGUCUUAUAUAUAACUGCAAAAAGCUAACAACAGUAGGCUGAAUCCAGUAUUAAAAGUUAUGUCUUUAAAACUGUCAUACACCCAGAAAAUGAACUAUUAACCUUUAACAACCAUUAAUGUAGAAUAAUAGUUGUUUUGUGUUGUUUUGUUUUCAGACAGAGUUUCUCUCUGUCGCCCAGACUGCAGUGCAGUGGCGUGAUCUCGGCUCACUGCAAUCUCCAACUCCUGGGUUCAAAGGAUUCUCAUGACUUAGCCUCCGGAGUAGCUGGAAUUACAGGUGUGCACUACCACGCCUGGCUAAUUUUUGUAUUUUCAGUAGAGACAGGGUUUUGCUGUGUUGGCCAGGCUAGUCUCAAACUCCUGGUCUCAAGUGAUCUGCUCGCCUAGGCCUCCUAAAGUGCUGGGGUUACAGGCAUGAGCCACCACACCUAGCCAAAGAAUGUUAAUUUAUGAAGUGUUAACUGAAAAAUUUUGUUUAACAGUUCAAAAAUGUAGAUAAAAGUUGGAAGCAUAUUUACAAAAGUAUUGAAAGUGAUUGUUGCUGGGGUUUUUUUUGUUUGUUUGUUUGUUUGUUUUUUGACAGUGGCUUGCCCUGUCUCCUAGGCUGCAGUGCAGUGUCACAGUCGUGACUCACUGCAGCCUCAGCCUCCUGGGAUCCAGCAAUUCUCCCACCUCAGCCUCCCAAGUAGCUGGGACUACAGGUGCAUGCCACCACGCCCGGCUAAUUUUUGUAUUUUUUGGGUGUAGACAGGGAUUGCCAUGUUGCCCAUACUGGUCCUGAACAACAAUUAGGGCUCAAGUCAUCUACCUGCCUCAGUCUCUCAAAGUGAUGGGAUUACAGAUUUAAUGUGCUAGAACAGCAUGUACAGUACAGAAAUACAAUGGAACAAAGAGAUGUUGCCAGAGGACAAAAAUGUGCCAAAGAGCCAGGGCUCUCUCAGCAUUGUGUCCUUGAAUGGUAACAGAAAGGAGUUAAAGUUUUCUCAAGGACAAAGAAGAAAUGCAGCACCUCUCUUCAUUGCAACUCAUUUUGUCGAAGCUUAAGAAAAUAAAGUCUGAUUACUGCGAGACAAUAAAACUCUAUUGAGUUUGUAUCUAAGAAUGGGUAUUUCCAACACCAGAUACCAAUGAUUACAAGUUGCAUGUAUCUUUUUUAGAGUUCUCCCACAUAGGUCAUUUGUCAAUGUAUAGACAUUUCAGUUAAAGAGAAACAUUAACUGUACUGUUAAUAAAUAGGUAAGGAUAUAUUCCCUUCAUUCCCCUCAUAUUUAGUCACCAACUAAAUAGUGGGAGACUUUGUUAUCUGCUCGGUGUAUAUGCAUAUGUUUAUGUAGUCAAAGAUUUUCAGGUUUUCUCUGCAUUUCUUCCUGCGCAUGAAAAAAUUUCUUUUUUGUUGGACUGGUUCUAGGUAAAGUAUUUCUAGGAACUCAAAUAUUAUGAUCCAAAGUUAAAUUUUAACCACCAUCUUUGAAACAUUUUUGAAAUAAUAAACUACAAAGCUUCAAUUAAGAAAUUAGAGAUUUUUUAUUUAGUUUUUAUCUCAUUUAUUAAAAGGAACUUCAGACAAAGGAAAUUAGGCAGUCUUUUGCUCAAAAUAUUGAAAGUAAAAAGAUGGAAAAUAUAUAUCAUUAAAACAUUAGCAAAAAGAAAACAGGAGUGGCUAUAUCAUUAUCAGAUAAAGUAGACUUCAGAGCAAAGAAAAUUAUGAGACAAAGAGGGGCAUUAUAUAAUGAUGAGAGUGUCAACCCAGAAGACAUAGCAAUGUUCAAUGUAUAUAUACCAAACAACAGAGCUGCAAAAUAUGUGAAGCAAAAGGUGACAACUGAAAUUAGAAAUAACAAAUCCACAAUUAUAUGUGGAGACUACAGCAUCUCUCAACAACUGAUACUACAACUAGGCAGAAAACCAGCAAGGGUAUAGAAGAACUUAACAACAGCCAAUAGGAUCUAAUUGACAUUUAUACAACACUGCACACAUUUUUUUCUUCUACAAAAUUAGGACUAUACACAUUCUUUUCAAGAACCCACAGAAAAUAUAGCAAGAUAGACCAUAAACCUUAACAAAUUUAAAAGAUUUGAAAUCAUACAGAGUAUGUUUUUUAACCACAAUGGAGUCAAACCAGAAAUCAGUAACAAAAUGUUACCAGGGAUAUAUUCAAACUAAAUGACAUGCUUCUAAAUAAUCCAUGGGUCAAAGAGAGGUCUCAAGAGAAAUGAAAAAGUACAUUGAACAGAAUAAAAAUACAAUAUGUUAAAAUUUGUGGAACACAGCUAAAACAGUGCUUAGAGGGAAAUUAUACAAUAAAUGCUUACAUUCAGAAAAGAGAAUAGACUCAAAUGUAAGCUUUCACCUCAAAAAACUUAAAAAAGCAGAGCAGGGAUAAAUCCAAAGUAAACAAAAGGAAGGAAAUAAUAAAGGUAAGAGCAGGAGUCAAUAAAAUUAAAUACGGAAAAUAAAGAGCAAAAACUGGUUCUUUGAAAAGAUACAUAAAAUUGGCAAACCUCUAGGAAGUCUGACAAGAAAGGAAGAAAGGAAAAAAAGAGAGGGUAAGAAGGAAGGAAGGAGGAAAGAAAGCUCAAAUCACUAAUACCAGGAAUAAAACAGGACCUAUCAUUGUAGACCUUGAAAACAUCAAAAGAGUAGUAAGGAGUACGACACACAUAAAUUUGACAAACCACUUCCUUGAAAAAUACAAUCCACUUAAACAGUAUAAAAAGAUCAUAUGAAUAGCACUGUAACUAUUUAGGAAAUUAAAUUUAUAAAUUAAAAACUCCCAAAGAAGAAAUCUUCAGCACAGAUGGUUUCAAUGAAAAAUGCUACCAAAUAUUUAAAGAUGAAUUAAUACCAAUUCCAUGCUAUCUCCUACAGAUAAUAGAAGAGGAUAAUACACUUUGUAAUUCAUUUUAUGAAGGUGCUAUAUCUCUAAUACGAAAUCAGACAGACACUACAAAAGAAAGAAAAUGACAGACCAGUAUCACUGAUGAAUACAGACAAAUCCUUAACAAAAUAUUAUCAGAGACAAUUAAACAAUGUGUAAAAAGAAUUAUGCACCCUGACCAAAUGUGAUUUAUUCCAGAUAUUCAACACUGAUUCAAUAUUUGAGUAUUAGUCAAUGCUGUCUGCCAUAUUAACAGGCUAGAGAAGAAAACUCACAUGAUUAUAUUGAUUGAUGAGGAAAAACCAUUUGACAAAAUUCAAACACCCAUU